rnacentral:sRNA from 1 species
ACUCAAAUUAAUUCAAUCGUAGGUUGACUGAGACUCUAGGCUGGAGUCUAAUUGUUAUUUAUAAAAUG